rnacentral:miRNA from 1 species
CUCUGUUCAAAACUGAACCGAAAAUGCUAGACUUGCUUUAAUUCUUUCCUUCAAUUUCAUUCUGUAUUAUUUACUAUAAUGGAACUCAUGUUAUUUACACUGUGUUAUAUCAAUACAUAUAAACACUGACAGAAAACAAUUAAAGCAAGUCUUGCAUUUUCGGUUCAGUUUUGAACCGAG